CUCCUACGGGAGGCAGGCAGUGGGGAAUAUUGCACAAUGGGCGGAAGCGUGAUGCAGAGAUGCCGCGUGAGGGAUGCCGGCCUUCGGGUUGUAAACCUCUUUCAGCACGGAAGAAGCGAAAGUGACGGUACGUGCAGAAGAAGCACCGGCUAACUACGUGCCAGCAGCCGCGGUAAUACGUAGGGCGCAAGCGUUAUCCGGAAUUAUUGGGCGUAAAGAGCUCGUAGGCGGUUUGUCGCGUCUGCUGUGAAAGCCCGGGGCUUAACCCCGGGUGUGCAGUGGGUACGGGCAGACUUGAGUGCAGUAGGGGAGACUGGAAUUCCUGGUGUAGCGGUGAAAUGCGCAGAUAUCAGGAGGAACACCGAUGGCGAAGGCAGGUCUCUGGGCUGUUACUGACGCUGAGGAGCGAAAGCAUGGGGAGCGAACAGGAUUAGAUACCCUGGUAGUC
rnacentral:rRNA from 1 species